GGGAGGUCUGGUUGUUUUUGGAGCGGAAUACUUAUUAAGAACUUGAUGGAAGUGAAGGAUUAAGAAUAUGGAAGGCACUGCAAUGAUUUGACUUCUUCAUGGUUUAAUUUGCUAGUUGUAUGUAGGGUAUGCAAAUUCUACUUAUACACACCCUGUGUACAAGUUGUAUGCAGGGUGUCUACAAAUCAUGUGGCUUCAUUUUAUUGGAGCCCAAAUGUGAGCUAUGUCUGGAUUCUGCACCUGAUAAUUUCUCCACAAAAAGAUGGAUUAACUUGCAGAAACCACUGCUCUUUCUCAUUUGAAAAUGAAAGUAACAUUAAUUUGCAGUGUUUGGAUUUGGGAAGAUUUGAAGCAAAUUGUAGAUCUCGAGUUUUGGAGGUGCUUGAGAAUUUUAAACCACAAAACAUUCUGAAGAAACUUUGGAUAUAUGUUUACAUGGGUGCCAGGUCUUCAAUAUGUGCCUUCGUAUAGCACUUAUUGAGAAUCUGUACUAUAUCUAGCAUUUCUUGAGAACAUGGAUUAUCUGCGUUCUUACCUUUUUAGCCUUUCUUUUUUCUUACAAAUUUCACGUUCAUAUUGGUCUCAUUUACUCAAGUUUUGGAUUGAGGUGACUAGAUUUUUUUCUUCCUAUGAGAUUCAUUAUUACUCAAAUGUUGGAUCAAAUAGAGGCCUGAGCGCUGCAUCGUUGAACAAUAGAUCUAAGAUAUCUAAAAUGUGUACUCUUAUUAAUGUCUUAAUCACCCAAAGUUACAAUCCCCUCACUAGGCUUAUUGCUACUAAAAUUACACUCCAUAUAUUCAAUUUUAGAUCUACUCGAGCGAAAACCUUUUAGACUCUGAGGUUGACCUCCAUAAUUCAAGUUUACCUUCAACUUCCUCCUCUAGUUUUAUCAACAAAAAUAAUAUUAUCAGCAAAAAAACAUACACCAAGGUACAUCCUCUUGCAAAUGUCUAGUGAGAACAUCCAUGGCUAAAGCAAAAAGAUAUGGGCUUAAGGUUGAUCCUUGAUUUUAUCCAACCUAAAUAGGAAAAUCCUUGGUCAACCACCUUGUGUUUGAACACAAUACAUAUCUUUAAUGAUUUGAAUAUAAGCUUUAUCAAUUAAGAACUUGAAACAUCUGAUAAGAGGAACUUUAUGAAUUUGUCCUAAGAAUGGGGUAACAUUGGUGUAUAAGAUGGAGGACCCUAAAAUCCCAUGUUUUUUUUAAAUAUUUUCAGGAAAAGAAAGUAGAAGGGAGGUUUUUUGGAGUGAAAUAUUUUUUAUGAAGGACAGAAUAUGGAAGGCACUGCAAUGAUUUGACUUCUUCAAAGUCUAAUUUGCUAGUUGAGUUGAGGGUGUGUAAAUUCUACUUAUACACCCUGUGUACAAGUUGUAUGUAGGGUGUGUGCAAAUCAUGUGGCUUCAUCUUAGUGGAGCCCAAAUGCGAGCUAUGUCCGGAUUCCGCACCUAAUAAUUUCCACAAAAAGAUCGGUUAACUUGCAGAAAUCACUACUCUAACUCAUUCAAAAAUGAAACUACCAUUAAUUUGCAGCGUUUUGAUUUGGGAAGAUUUCAAGCACAUUGUAGACCUCAACUUUUGGAUGAGAAGGUGCUUUAGAAUUUCAAACCACAUAACCAUCUAAAGAAACUGAGGAUAAAUGUUUACAUGGGUGCCAGGUCUUCAAUAUUUGCCUUGUUGUAGCACUUUUUGAGAACCUGUACUAUAUCUAGCAUUUCUUGAAAACAUGGAUUGUCUGCGUUGUUACCUUCGUAGCCUUUCUUCUUUCUAACAAUUUUUGGAUCAUAUGGGUUACAUUUAUUCAGGUUUUGGAUCAAAUAAGUCGAGCCUUUGGGAAAGAAUGAAAGGAAAAUUUUCUCAUCCCUUGACGCUAUAUGUAUAUUAUUUAUGGAAGGAACGGAAUGGCAGGAAAUAUGGCAAUCACAUCUCUCCUACUUCGUCUAUUUUAAGCUUUAAGCAGGAAGCGUUCUCAUAUGGAUGAAAAAAAAUCGAGGGAUGACUCGGAUUGUGACUUUGCUUCGCUAGAGGUGUUACACAUUGAGAGAUUAGAAGCAUUGGAGGAUUGGUUUGACUCAACAUUAGCAGCAGCAGAUUGUCGUUUUUCCUUGCUUAAUUGAACUAUACCUGAAGGACUGCCCAAAAUUGCAAGAGUUUCCCUCUUUGCCUGCUAAGCUCAGGAAAUUAUAGAUAGAUAAUUUCGGUUGGAAAACUUUGAACUUGUUACGAGGCACUAGCAAUUGUUACAUCAUUUCUAGUCUUGCAGCAAUAAGAAACUUGACAAUUCGAAAUAGUGGUGAUCUCAUCUAUCUCAAAGGACUGAAAGAUUUGGGGACUACAGAGAAUUCCCAGCUCUUACUCAACGAACUCUUUAUUAAGCAUCCAUCGGUGUUGCUAAUGGAGCUAUUAAGCAGUAUCACCUCCAUUCAAAGGGUAAUGAUCGGUUGUUUUCUUUUUCAGUUGCGACAGAGCAGUGGUUUCUGCAAGUUAGCUCAUACCGUGUUUUUGGGGAGCUGUUCUUUAUGCUUAAUGUACAACUCAUCGAGCACAUCAUCUACCUCAUCAAUAGCAUCUCGCAGCUGUCAUAUCCAUUUGUUGAGAGCCGUGUUAUUAUGGCCUCCAAUUUUUGCUUGGCUGGAAGCAAAGUCGAGGACAGCUUGGAUCGUGAGGUGGUUCUCUCGCAGCCUUGCCCGUCUGUCAUCUGACUUGCUCUUCUAGGUAAUCAGAGUAAGCGUUCAUGAUCUUCUCCAUGAUUGGACCAACAAACCAUUCUUCCAUGGCACCGAUGAUCGUGGUAGAGAGAGCAGAACAACCGAACAAUGGGUUUCAUCUGGUGUCAUUCAGUUGCCCUGGAAUGGAGACGAGAAUACUAAGGUGGAUGAGUGGCUUUACUCUUAGAUCCUAAACUCUAAAUCCUAAACGGGCAUGUACGGGAAAGGUUGGAGUAGCUCCAAUGACAGAUAAGAGUAGAGAGAUUUGCUUUAGAUGUUUUUAUGAAAUAAAAUGGUGGCCUUCCGAUAACUUGGUUAGGAAAUUAGAUGUAUUAGAUUUGACUUAUAUUAAGAAAGGUAGAGGUAUACCUAAAAAUUUUUUGUUAGAAAAUAUUAGAAAUGAUAUGUUUUCAUUUGAUUUAAAUGAGAAUUUGAUUCUUAAUAUGACAAUGGAGAAACAAGGAUUUCUGUAGCCGACACUUAGUGGGAUAAAGGCUUGAUGUUGUUGUUGGAAAUGAUCUUAUCCCCUGUUCUUCUUUGCUGGUAUAUGGGCAAUAAUGUUAUUUUGGAAGCCGUUCUGCUCUCCCUUUGGAUGGCACACUCUUGGUAUCCUUAUUCUGCUUCUCCCUUACCCUUUCAAGCAGUGUGCAACCGGGUAGAGCGCCUCCACUUCAUUUGGCUGGCAUCAGCUCUUGCCACAUUCCUCAUAGUCAUUGCAACAACCUAAUCAUUUAUGAGCCCAUUUUGCCUUUAUAUUUUGCCACCCUCUGCUUUUUUCAAAUUGAUCCCAACUUGAAGAGAUUGUGAAGAAACUUUGAUAAAGUUUCAGCUGAUAUUAUUAAUAUUCUUCAUCUUUUAGAGAUCACAACGUGAGUUGCGCAAAAGAUGUGAAACAAGAUCAUUGCCUAAAAAUGAACAGAUUGAUUAAGGCAAGGAGUUUGUUAUGAUGUGGAUGAUGAAGCCAUCAAAUGAACGUCAUACUCAUUUUAUCGGCACUAAUAUGUACAGCAACAUUUCUCUUCUAUCAAUGGUCGGUUUUGGUGGUAUGCCUAAGACAACUCUCUUGUAAAAUGUUUAUUAAGAGGAAUUUGAUCUUAAAAUGUAGAUACGUGUUUCCAACAACUUGAUGUGAAAAGAGUCAUUGUAGUCAUAUUGCAAUCUUUAUACAAUUUAAAGACUCAUAACUAAUUAUUUAAUUUCUAGUUUUACUAUUAAUUAUUUAAGUAUUUUUUAAUAAAUUUUUAAUUUAAUUAUAUCAUUAUUUAUCUAAUUAGUUAUUUAAAUAUUUUAUUACUAAUUAUUAAUAUUUUAUAUUAUAUUACUUAAGCUAAAUUAGAUGAAUUUUUAAUUUAGAUGGUAGGCUUGCUUUUCAUCUUCUCCAUUUGUUUGUUGCUGUUGCUUUUCCUCCUGAAUUGAAGGUCAAGAUGGGAGCUCGCUCGCUAUGAAGGUAACCAUCUUUUUCCCUUUUUUGCUUGCUUCUACCAAAUCCUGGAAAUUUGCUUAUUGGUCGGAUUUAAUAAAUACGGGAUUUAGGACAAAAGGAGGAAAAUUAAGUAUUUAUUUCUUCCGGAUUUGACAUGUCCUUAAAUUACGUUUGGCAGGAUUUAGCAAUAAUCCCUGCAUAAAUCCUAUUUUCAAUGCACCUAAGUUAUUGAGAUGGAGGAAAUGUUGAGAUUAGAGGGCUUGGAGGAGGUUGCAUACUUACAAAUCCCCUAAGUGAUAGAAAAGUGAAAGAAGCUCACCGUUUUUCAUCUACUAGAUUUUGCUACAUCUUUUUUAUAUUUUUUUUUAUAGAUUGGUAUGAGAUGCUUACGGUCAUGCUAUUGAUUGGACUGCAAUAUCUAUAGGUAGGCUUCAACAUAGCGUGCUUUAUUCACCGGUGGUUAUAACGGUACAAUAGUUUUCAUGCAAGCCAUGAAGUCCCUACGAUUGCCUACCGCAUAUGUCCAGCCUAAAUGAUAACUUUGUUUUUAUGUUUGCGACAAAUUAAGAUCCAUUGGUAAGAAAGGUCAUGGAUGGUGUUCUAGAUUCUAGCUUUAGAUGAAAUGCAUUGGAUAAACGUUUUAAAAGAGUUUUUUUCCCAAUUGGAAAUAUUUGUCUACUCAGCACAUAGCUCCCUCAGCUUGUUGAAUAUAUUGCUUAUAAUUUCAGUGGUGGAAAUGCUCCAAAUUUAUACUUCUAAUUUUGAUUGUUAUGGUUGUUAUUGUGGGUUCAUUUGAUUUUUUUUAUUCUCUAUGGGAAUGAUCUUCUCCCCUGUUCUUCUUUGCCGGUAUCUGGGAAAUGAUGAUAUUUUGAAAGCCUUUUGCUCUCCCUUUGGAUGGCACACUUGGUGUCCCUAUUUUAUGGGGCCCUUAACAUCAGCGUGCAAGCGGGUAGAGCGCCUGCGCUUCAUUUUGCUGGCAUCGGCUCUUGCCAGAUUCCUGAUAAUCUCUGAUAGAACCUGAUCAUUUCUGAGCCCAUUUUACCUUGUCUUAUACUCUCGAUAUUUUUUUUGAGUUGAUCCCAACUUGAAUAGACAGGAGGGGUUUUUGAAGAAACUUGACAAAGUGUCAGCUGAUGUUGUUAGGUUCCUUCAUCUUUUAGAAAGCACAUACCAGGAGCGACAAUGUAAGUUGUGCAAAAGAUGUGAAACAAGUUCUUUGCCUAAAAAUGAUCAGAUUGGUUGAGGCAAGCAGGUGUUUGCUAUUAUUAUGUGGUUGGGGCUAUUAUAUGUAAUAUCUGAUUGUGUUGAUAAAUCGGGUUAUUUUGUUGCCUCGAAUUGUUCUGUUUACUCAUCCCCAAUAGAGACAGACGUCAAAUGAACAUCAUACUUGUUGCAUCCUUGAGUAUUUGCGGCGGUAGAGAAAUAUAACAUUUAACGUCUUAACUUUGUACGAAGAUCCUGCACACAAUCAGAUAGGAGAGAGGGUGUAGCAUUUAUGAGACAUCAAUAUUUUUACGUGG